GAUAAACGCUGGCGGCGUGCUUAACACAUGCAAGUCGAACGAAGUUUUUCCUUCGGGAGAAACUUAGUGGCGGACGGGUGAGUAACGCGUGGGUAACCUGCCCUGUACAGGGGGACAACAGCUGUAAACGGCUGCUAAUACCGCAUAAGCCCUUAGCACUGCAUGGUGCAUAGGGAAAAGGAGCAAUCCGGUACAGGAUGGACCCGCGUCUGAUUAGCCAGUUGGCAGGGUAACGGCCUACCAAAGCGACGAUCAGUAGCCGAUCUGAGAGGAUGUACGGCCACAUUGGGACUGAGACACGGCCCAGACUCCUACGGGAGGCAGCAGUGGGGAAUAUUGCACAAUGGAGGAAACUCUGAUGCAGCGACGCCGCGUGAGUGAAGAAGUAUUUCGGUAUGUAAAGCUCUAUCAGCGGGGAAGAAAAUGACGGUACCUGACUAAGAAGCACCGGCUAAAUACGUG
rnacentral:rRNA from 1 species